rnacentral:lncRNA from 13 species
AUGGAUGGGGGAGAGAAGGUUGAUUGGGCCCAGUCUUCGGACCCCACUCCCUACCCCAGCACUGAAAGGUUUAGCUCUGUGUCUUUUUCCCACUCUUUCGUUGGGGUCUCCCAGGGAUGGAUUUGCAGGAAAGGGCAGCGACGGAAGGAAGUGAUCCAACAUGGAAGUUUAGUGGAAGACACAAGUCAAAACACACAUGCGCACACACACGCAUACACAUAUGCUUACACACACAUGCGCACACACGCAUACACAUAUGCUUACACACACAUGCGCACAGACGCAUACAUAUGCUUACACACAUGCGCGCACACACAUACACAUAUGCUUACACACACGCGCGCACACACGCAUACACAUAUGCUUACACACAUGUGCGCACACACGCAUGCACAUGCUUACACACACAUGCACGCACACACAUAUGCUUACACACACGUGCACACACGCAUACACAUAUGCUUACACACAUGCGCACACACGCAUACACAUAUGCUUCCACACACAUGCGCGCACACACACAUGCACAUGCUUACACACAUGCACGCAUACACAUAUGCUUACACACGCGCGUGCACACGCAUACACAUAUGCUUACACACAUGCGCACACACGCAUACACAUAUGCUUCCACACACAUGCGCGCACACACGCAUACACAUGCUUCCACACACAUGGAUGCACACACAUACACAUAUGCUUACACACAUGCGCACACACGCAUACACAUAUGCUUACACACACAUGUGCGCACACACGCAUACACAUGCUUACACACAUGCGCACACACGCAUACACAUGCUUACACACAUGUGCACACACACGCAUACACAUAGGCUUACACACAUGCACACACACGCAUACACAUAUGCUUACACACACAUGCGCACACACGCAUACACAUGUGCUUACACAUGCGCACACACGCAUACACAUAGGCUUACACACAUGCGCACACACACACGCUUACACACAUGCGCACACACACGCAUACACAUAUGCUUACACACACAUGCGCACACACACACAUACACAUAUGCUUACACACACAUGCGCACACACUACCAAGCUGCAGGGUCAUGGAGUUGCAGAUCAUCUCAGAUCAGAGCUGUGCUUGGAGGCUGCAUUUCAUAG